ACACUGGGAAGAAUGGGGCGGGGGAAGGGCAGGUGUAAUAAAAUAAAAUAGUGUGCAUUAAAUCGGGGUGGGCAAGGCUCCUCAACAGACUAGCUCACUCACCACCAUGCCGCUCAUCCUCCUGCUACCCCCCAAAACACACACACACACAGACCCACAAUCACCCCACAGAGGGGAAAAAGGGGGCAAGUUAAAUAUGCAGACAAUGGCCGAGGCGAAAGAGAGAUGGCAGCUCCGGAGAAGCGGCACCAGGAGGGAGCUGGAAGAAGAGGCGGGGAGGCAAGGAGCCCUCCUCCCCACCCACCCCAGCCCCAGCCUCCUCCUUGGUUUGCCGCCUGCCUCAUUCGGCAAAGGGCUGGCGGCGGCAGCGUGAAACAGGCUUCCUCCCUGUCUAGAGAAAGAGCUGCCACAGCCACCACCGCUGCUGCUUCUUCUCAUGAAGUGGGUAGGCAGAGUGACCUCGUCCGCUCCGCUCUGUGGCCCAUAGGAGCACCAAGGCAGCGGCAGCAGCAGGAGGAAGAUUAUUAUUAUUACUACAAUUAUUUCCCCAAUGGCCUGACUUGGAGGGAGAACAAGAGGAGAAAAGCUUGUGGGAAAGCAGAGAGAAAGAGGGGGAAGGGGAUUUUUGUCCUUCUACCAUCUAACUCUGUGUGCACGCUCAGCUUCUGGGGGCACAAAACAAUAUGAAUACUAAUAAUAUUAAUAUUAAUGAUAUCAGGGUAAUUAAGCAAGCAAAGGCAGCCCGGCCCGCUACCCGAAACAAGGAGUAGAGGGCAUGUGAAGGAGGCGAGCGGUGCCGCCCAGACCUGCACCUUUUAUUGGCGUUGGAGCCGCCCAUCAUGAAGCAGGGCUGCCGGAAGCCAGCUUAACUGCCCGGACGGAGCUUCCAAGGUGACAGGAGGAAGAGACCGAGCGGCGGCGGCUCUGGCAAUCUGGUUUACCUCAGCGCAGCGCGGGGACGUCUCUGCCAAUCAAACGUCACUGAGGUAAACCAGGUUCACCGCUGGACUUCGCUCUUGGUCUUGGUUAGAACUCAGGACAAGGACACUCUGCAUAUUACAUUAAGGACAACAGUUAGAAAUUUCCUUUUAUUUAACA